rnacentral:rRNA from 1 species
GAUGAACGCUGGCGGCGUGCCUAAUACAUGCAAGUCGGGCGAAUGGAUUAAGAGCUUGCUCUUAUGAAGUUAGCGGCGGACGGGUGAGUAACACGUGGGUAACCUGCCCAUAAGACUGGGAUAACUCCGGGAAACCGGGGCUAAUACCGGAUAAUAUUUUGAACUGCAUGGUUCAAAAUUGAAAGGCGGCUUCGGCUGUCCUUUAUGGAUGGACCCGCGUCGCAUUAGCUAGUUGGUGAGGUAACGGCUCACCAAGGCAACGAUGCGUAGCCGACCUGGGAGGGUGAUCGGCCACACUGGGACUGAGACACGGCCCAGACUCCUACGGGAGGCAGCAGUAGGGAAUCUUCCGCAAUGGACGAAAGUCUGACGGAGCAACGCCGCGUGAGUGAUGAAGGCUUUCGGGUCGUAAAACUCUGUUGUUAGGGAAGAACAAGUGCUAGUUGAAUAAGCUGGCACCUUGACGGUACCUAACCAGAAAGCCACGGCUAACUACGUGCCAGCCGCCGCCGUAA